rnacentral:rRNA from 1 species
CCUACGGGUGGCAGCAGUGGGGAAUAUUGCACAAUGGGGGAAACCCUGAUGCAGCGACGCCGCGUGAGUGAAGAAGUAUUUCGGUACGUAAAGCUCUAUCAGCAGGGAAGAAAAUGACGGUACCUGACUAAGAAGCCCCGGCUAACUACGUGCCAGCAGCCGCGGUACUACGUAGGGGGCACGCGUUAUCCGGAUUUACUGGGUGUAAAGGGAGCGUAGACGGCAGCGCAAGUCUGGAGUGAAAUCCCAUGGAUUAACCAUGGAACUGCUUUGGAAACUGGGCAGCUGGAGUGCAGGAGAGGUAAGCGGAAUUCCUAGUGUAGCGGUGAAAUGCGUAGAUAUUAGGAGGAACACCAGUGGCGAAGGCGGCUUACUGGACUGUAACUGACGUUGAGGCUCGAAAGCGUGGGGAGCAAACAGGAUUAGAUACCCUUGUAGUC